rnacentral:siRNA from 1 species
UUAAGCGCGCGACCUAUACCC